UACGGGAGGCAGCAGUGGGGAAUAUUGCACAAUGGGCGCAAGCCUGAUGCAGCCAUGCCGCGUGUAUGAAGAAGGCCUUCGGGUUGUAAAGUACUUUCAGUCGUGAGGAAGGUGUUAAGGUUAAUAACCUUAGCAAUUGACGUUAGCGACAGAAGAAGCACCGGCUAACUCCGUGCCAGCAGCCGCGGUAAUACGGAGGGUGCGAGCGUUAAUCGGAAUUACUGGGCUAAAGGGCACGCAGGCGGUUAAUUAAGUUGGAUGUGAAAUCCCCGGGCUUAACCUGGGAAUGGCAUUCAAGACUGGUUAGCUAGAGUCUUGUAGAGGGGGUUAGAAUUCCAUGUGUAGCGGUGAAAUGCGUAGAGAUGUGGAGGAAUACCGGUGGCGAAGGCGGCCCCUGGACAAAGACUGACGCUCAUGUGCGAAAGCGUGGGGAGCAAACAGGGAUUAGAUACC
rnacentral:rRNA from 1 species